UACGGGGGGGGGCAAGCGUUGUUCGGAAUUACUGGGCGUAAAGGGCUCGUAGGUGGCCAACUAAGUCAGACGUGAAAUCCCUCGGCUUAACCGGGGAACUGCGUCUGAUACUGGAUGGCUAGAGAUUGGGAGAGGGAUGCGGAAUUCCAGGUGUAGCGGUGAAAUGCGUAGAUAUCUGGAGGAACACCGGUGGCGAAGGCGGCUCUCUGGACGGUGACUGACGCUGAGACGCGAAAGCGUGGGGAGCAAACAGGG
rnacentral:rRNA from 1 species